CCCUGAGAUCAUGACCUGAGCUGAAGGCAGAGGCUUAACCCACUGAGCCACCCAGGCGCUCCUUACCAUUUGUUUAGAACUGACAAGCUGCAAGCUAAGUUAGUCUUGAGUCCCAUCUUCUUAACUUCCUACCUCUCACUAUCCAUACCUAUUGUUCUUCUUUGGAUCCUGUUUUCUGAAAUAUUAAUCUACUCCUCAAUAACAUCGGUGUCAUCAGUUAACAUAAAACUCAGGGGGUGGCUUGCAGACCCUAAGUCCCUGCUCUGACCUAUGAGGAUCCACAUGACUCGGCCCCUGCCUACUUCCAAUGACAUCCCUUACCACGUCCCCAACUUGCUAUACUUGACCCUUGAGAACAGGUUUGCAUGGGCCAAGUUUGAACUGGGAAGGUCUCCUGCCCAUGACCUUGUCAUUGCCAUGAGCUGAAGAGACUUGGGGACAUGUACCAGCCAGUUCCACCAGAGACGGAGUUCAGUAUAUUGACCCAGACUGAAAACACCUGCUGUCAUGUGACACACUCACUAGAUCCCUUGUUACUAGGGGCGCUUUAUAAAACAGAAUCUGUUCUGUAAGGAAGUACUGCAUUUUUUAGCAAGUAGCAAUAUAGUCCCAAUGAGAACAAAUCUAAAACUACUAUAUAUUUGAAGGUCUUCUCUCCUCCGAUUUCUAGGAAAACUCCUUAAUAUUUCUGUAAUUUGUUAUAGAGACUAAGAUGGACAGCUGGAGUUGUGAGAUAAAGUACUUAUUAAAUGCAUUUUAAAUAACUCCCUUGGGAAAAAACGGUAGAUACUUUUUUAUAACCUAUGUCCCUCUUCCUUGCUGCAAGUGCAUAGAAGACGUACUGUCUAGUAGGCUACACACUAGGGACACGCCCCUGUUGAGCCUAGGUAGGACGAUGUAGUAAACUAUUGGUAUGAUUAGGUAGUAACUUGGCAAGUAUUUCCACUAUCUUUACUGACUACAGAAAAUGACUCAAAAGUGUUCAUUUUAGGAAAUAAAAUUCUUUAGGUAAUUGGGAAUGUGAAUUCUUGGCAAGCGGGAAUUGCACGAGAUAAACUAGUCUAGUGGCUGCUGUUCCCGUCUCACUGGCAAUGACCCUAAAAUGGGCGAGUUCUAGUUUGUGGAUGUUCUAUAGGUCUGAACUCAGAGAGAAACCAACCUUUAUUUAGGAAAACAAGCAAACAAAGACAGUAUUUUGAAAGGAAGAGGUCGGGUCUGAUAUUGCCACAAGAAGGGGCGUUAGUUCAGUAUACUGUUUCAGAUUAGAAAAGGCUAAAAUUCAGAUGAAAAGGAUGAAAUUCUCUUUAAACACAGCAUGGCAUAGUUGUACUAGCAUGAAGUACAAUCUCAAAUUGUCUAGAGAAACUAAUUCUAGCAAAGCUUCUUAGUUCCCCUUGCCAUGAAAACCAUUUUAUUCAUUUUGAAGCAUUUGGACAAUACAUAAGCUACUGAUAGCCAGAAGUGAACAUUAAAUAACUUUGUUUAAAGAGUUUAAGAUGAAGUACAAUAGAGCACACAAAGACAAUAUUUGUGAAAUGCUAUAUCCACCCCCCUCACCAGGUUUCACACAGGAUAACUCAGCAUAAUGCCAGCAGCUGUGAAAACAUAAAAAUUAUAUAUAAUGGGCAUUCUGUUAUGGAAAAAUAUCUAACUGAUGGUACAGGGAAUGUUUUUUGGUCUCCUGACUAGAACAUAUUUCAAUCUGCCAAAGCUUUGCUCAAAAAUUCCUAGUCAACAUCACCAUCCUUCAGCUGUGGGGCUGCCCGCAAAAUGUGCAGAUGUCUGUCACCUGAAAAGACCAAGAAGUCUUUUGGGGAAGGGGGGAGCACAGAGGAGACCCCGGAGGUUCUUUUCCCCUCUCUUUAUAAGACACUGAUUUAUGUUAUCAAAAACAGCUUGGUACACUGUGCACAUCUGGUGUUAUACUGGUGAAAUGAACUACAAGAGUAGGAAGCAGGACAAGAGUCUUUCAACUUUUGCCAAUAAAAAAAUGCACCUCUAUUUUGUACUUUUUAAUGUGGGGUUUUGUUUUUAAGGUAGAUUUGAGGUACGGCCUAUAAUCGAGGUAGAGCUCUGUAUGAUCUCUGUGGACUGAAAUCAAUUAGCAAUAGACCUAAUUGGAUGGAAAAUGUAGCACCACCAGACACUAAAAGAUAACCCCAUCUUAGAUUGUUGAAACUUUCUUUUCUUUGGAGGGGUGGUGGGGGACUGGUAGGGUCGGGAAGGGGAGGAGACCUUAAUCCCCAAGAGACAAAAAGUGCCUGAGACUUUUUCAGCUUCCAAAGUACCCACUGAAAUCUUUCCAGGGUGAAACCUGAAUUUCCACACUACAAAUACAACUCAUUGAGAUAAGCGAAAACACAAAAUGAUAAGCCAACCAAAACCACAAAUUUCCAUAAGAAGUCAUCCCCAUGCAACGGCCAUCAUGCUAGAACCUAGAAAGUCACUUACUUUUCUCCGAGUGUCACCCGGAGGCUGUUCUGGAGUAGAGAAAUUGGUUGUUGGCAUUUUGUUUUUUAGCAGAAGACACAUCCACAUUCACAACAGCAAUGAUUACACUUAGGACAUUUAUUUAUGGAACCACUUAAGAGUCAUUAUGGUAAAAAGUGCCCACAGGGUUAGUUAUAAACACAUACAAUGCACACAAACACUAGCUAACACACACAGGGACCCACAGUCAAAAAUCACAUAUAGAUGGUGUUUUAAACAUGAAUCUCUGGAUCUUCAAAAGAUGGCAAGGCUACUAUUCUCUGGGUAUUCUUUGGCAAGUAUAACUCAGCUGCUGUAAUUCUAGUCUUACAUGUACUUUCCAUCAGCACACAAUGUUACUUUCAAUAGGCUGGUUUUAGGGUCUUAUAUUGUGAACAAAACAUUCAUUAGAAAGUUGCAAAGAUAUGUGGCUAUUUCCCAGAAAUUGCAGGGACCAGAAAACAGGCUUUCCAAAAAAAAAAAAAAAAAAAGGCAAAAAUGUUUUAAUACGGCAACAUGGAUACAUG